rnacentral:rRNA from 1 species
UCGAGAAUAUUCGACAAUGGGCGAAAGCCUGAUCGAGCGACGCCGCGUGGUGGAUGAAGUCCUUCGGGACGUAAACAUCUUUUAUGAGGGAGGAAGUAAUUGACGUUACCUCAUGAAUAAGGGGCUCCUAACUCUGUGCCAGCAGGAGCGGUAAUACAGAGGCCCCGAGCAUUACCCGGAAUCAUUGGGCGUAAAGGGUGCGUAGGUGGUCGUGUUAGUCGUUUGUGAAAUACCGGGGCUUAACUCCGGC